GACGAACGCUGGCGGCGUGCUUAACACAUGCAAGUCGAACGAGACGAUUGAAAGCUUGCUUUCGAAAGUCGAGUGGCAAACGGGUGAGUAACGCGUAGACAACCUGCCGUUGAGAUGGGGACAACAGUUCGGAAGGACUGCUAAUACCGAAUGUUGUAUAUUUUCCACAUGGAAGAUAUAUUAAAGAUGGCCUCUAUUUAUAAUCUAUCGCUCAAAUAUGGGUUUGGGUCUGAUUAGCUGGUUGGUGGGGUAACGGCCUACCAAGGCGACGAUCAGUAGCCGGUCUGAGAGGAUGAACGGCCACAUUGGGACUGAGACACGGCCCAGACUCCUACGGGAGGCAGCAGUGGGGAAUCUUCCACAAUGGACGAAAGUCUGAUGGAGCAACGCCGCGUGAGUGAAGAAGGGUUUCGGCUCGUAAAGCUCUGUUGUCGGGGACGAAUGUGCAGUAUUUGAAUAAAGUACUGUAAUGACGGUACCUGACGAGGAAGCCACGGCUAACUACGUGCCAGCCGCCGCUGUAA
rnacentral:rRNA from 1 species